AACCAGGACAAAAUCUUCAUUAAUUAACGUGGAUACAGUUUCAGGAAUUCUACUGGCUUUGCUAAAUGAUGUUUUAACUUCCAUCUCAGGUCAGUAGUCUUCUCCUGCCAAAAUAAACCUCCGCUACCCGCCGCCGCCCCCUCGGCGCCUCAGCGGGCCGGGUGCCCCCGAAGGCAGCGCGUCCCUCACCUCAACCGCCGGCGGGAGGAACAGCAUUUGGACGCGGAUCGUCCGACUGGGAAAACGUCGCCCUUCGGCCCUCGGGAAGCGCUGCGGCUCGCAGGGAGGCUGCCUGCUGAGCGCGUACAAAUUCUGGUGACUGCAGCUACGGAAUGACAGCGACCGGCAGAUCGGGCUGCAGAGGAUAACCAAACUUUUCUGAGGGUGGAUGCCAGGCUCGCUGAGCUGUGGAUUGUUUAUCAGCAGUGUUUUUGUACGGCUAAAUAAGUAUUUAAUAUUUAAACGGGUUCAGAUAAAUCACAACAGUGUGAAGAAUUAAGAAAGAUUAAGGGGGAAGAAUAUUAGAGGAGAGGAACAAGAUGAAAAAAUUUAACUGUCAUUAUCCUCAGAUGCAACACACUUCUGCGAGAAUAUGGGUAAUAAACAUGAAGAACUGAAAGUCAUGUUUAUAAUAUUAACAAGCAUUAAAAAAAUCAACAAGAACAUGUCAAAAAUGAAUCAUGGGAUCAUGGCUUCAGCAAGGAUUCCCAUUCUCUAUCGUCUACCUUUCUCGUAAGAAGGCUAGAGGAAUGUGGACUAUGUGAAACUUACAUGAAAUGGUUACAAAAUGGCACUCAGAAGUAACUCCAAGUGAUUCACAUUCAAAACCAGAAGUUUGUAGCAAGUGAGAUUUCCAAACAUUUAUGUCCUGAAUCCCAAACUGCCUAAUUUUACGUGGUGCAAUAUGACAGAGAAGAUUUUUAUUAUUCUUGUGGAGGAUAUCCUGUUCAGGUGAGAGCUGCAAGCAUUUUGGAAGACAGAACUGAACAAAUCAUGACAAGUUGAAACAAAGUUCUAAAGUAAAUAGGAUGUAAUUCCAUGAGGCAAUAAACUUAGAGCUGGGAAUAACUGACUGCAAAACUGUAAGCUGGAGACAAACAGGCUAAGCAGUUACUUUACAAAAAGAAGUCUUGGUUCAGAGCAGUUCACAAAAGAAAAUGAGUCAACAGUGAUUCAGUGUUGUAAAAAAAAAAAAUGUGACGACUUUACUGGAAUGUAGAAAAAGACUGUCAAGCACAAGAAAAGUGAAGUAAUGUUUCCACUCCACUGAGCUCAAAAAGGCUUUUGGUGAAGAAAACUUCUCUGUUUUGGGCACCUCCUUCAAUCAGGGAGAGUUCUGCGGAGAAUGUGAAAAGCUACCAGAAAUCUGGAAAACCCGAGCGUGACUGAAAGAAGUUUGAAUAGAUACCUGAAAAGCCAGCAAAGACAUAUGAAAUGUACAGACUGGGCAAUAUGAGAAUUUGAAAUGAGGAAAGCAGUUUGUUUAUUAGAAAAGUGAAUACACACACCAGCCCAACUGUUUAGUAAUGGAAACAACUUUUUGCUGCAUAAUAAACUCUCAACCUAAAGCACUGAUUAUCAUGAGCCUUUCAAAUCCUCAUACCUGUAAUGUCCUGGGAGGUGCGAGAAAAAUCCUUAAGACAUAGAGCAUACACAUGCUGAGAAGAAAAUCUUUUAUUUUAAAAUUCACCGAAGUA